UACGUAGGGGGCAAGCGUUGUCCGGAUUUAUUGGGCGUAAAGAGCGUGUAGGCGGCCAAGCAGGUCCGCUGUGAAAACUCGGAGGCUCAACCUCGAGAGGUCGGUGGAAACCGUUUGGUUAGAGUCCGGAAGAGGAGAGUGGAAUUCCCGGUGUAGCGGUGAAAUGCGCAGAUAUCGGGAAGAACACCCGUGGCGAAGGCGGCUCUCUGGGACGGUACUGACGCUGAGGCACGAAAGCGUGGGGAGCAAACAGG
rnacentral:rRNA from 1 species